rfam:Anaerobacillus alkalilacustris strain DSM 18345 Ga0137925_101, whole genome shotgun sequence.
UGAAUUGAAUAAUUCAUACCGUAGACAGUAGGGGCGCAUCAUUCGCUUAAUUUCCUACCGAGGUUGUUACAAGUUGAUCUAAUCACUAUAACAAUAGCCUCCGUAUGUCUCGGCAUAUGGAGGCUUUUCCUAUAGAGGA